UACAACGAACGGACAGACGGUCGUCGGAAACCAUGACGAAUACAAGAUUAUAUGAGUUAUACAUUAUGCUUUGAAGAUGGUUGGUUAUUGGUGACGGUGGUGACAUACGGGUUGCUCAGUGGCGUCAGUGUUUAAUCACUUGGCGUGAGACACAGGUCGGAUAUCUUUCCAUAGAAGCUUAUCCCCAUACAGCUAUCAAAUAUUAUCUUCGCCUGCACUCCAAUAUGGAACAUCACUCAAACCCCCUCAUCGCUCAACUUCAUACUAAUGCUCUUCCAGACAACCCAGCCAGACUCCUCAAACGUGAAUGGCCCAGAGAUCUUCUCAACGCACAUUAAACUUGUAUAUUACUAUUUCUCCCUAAAUUACCUUCUACGUAGAAAUUUCUAAUGUGGAACUUCUACUCAUUGUACUUCCCUCAUUGCCACUUGUAAUUAUUAUCACAUUUACUUAUUGUACCAUUUUUAUUUUUUUGUAUAGAUUGUAAAUUUUCACAAAUAAACGACAUUUAAAAAAAAAAAAAGAAGCUUAUCCUCAAUUUAGUAUGAUAUAGAAUAAAUAAUUGAUUAAAAGUUGUAAGCUUAGUGUUUUUAUCGGAAUAUAAAUAAUAUAUUAUGUUUAUAAUGAUGGAUUAUGGUUGUUUUCUUGCAAUAAACUAUGAACACAUUUACAUAUUA